GAGUGUCUCACAUCUAAAACUCCUUCUCCUACUUCUCAUCUUUGGAAGAGUCCAAAUCAAGAAGAAGGAGGCAUCUGAUCGACCAUCGAAGAAGGAUCAGCACAGUACUAACAUACUGUGCUGAUUUCCUAGAUUAGGGCUUCUGAUUGUGAUUCGUGGGCUCGUGUGGACGACUCCUAGAGAUCGGAUGCAUGUGUGGCUCGCAACAUCAUC
rnacentral:lncRNA from 1 species